AAAAACCUUUAUAAACUCUUAACUCAUAAAAUUUUAAUUUUCAUAUCUCGUUGUUAUGCAAUCUAAUCCUCGAUAAAUCUUUUUUUUCUAAAUUCACCGUUGAAAUUAAAUAUGUUUAUGCAUAAUGGUCUCAUGUAAAUAGCUAUGUGCAACUAGAGACCAAUAGUAACUUUGAGUUAUUUUAGACGAGAUUCUAGUGAUUGAAUAUCCUUGGGUUGACGCACGGCUGUGGACAAUUUUUGCCAUGUAAUGGUUUGAUAUUGAUUUCUUAUAAUAAUUCUUCGGCCAAAUAUAUAAGUUUGAAUCAACUCUGGUCAAUUAGCUACUUGGCUUUUAUAUCAAAAAAGCCAAUUUGCAUGUCAUGGAAAUACUAAUUAAAAAAUAAUCUUAUAUUGGCUGAUAAUCGUUAUUGAGCCAAGUAUAAGCUUAGAUCAACUCUAAAGUCAUAGAAUCAUAGGCAAAUUCAAAUAUGAAUGGGGACAAAAACUGGCUUUCAGUACUUACGAGUUAGAUCUUUGGAUGUUUAUAUUUAUUAGUAGAUCAUAACUAAUUCCAUGGAACAACUCCAUAGAAAAAUGAAGCAAGAAGGAAAGGCUUUAUAUACGAUGUCAUAGGACCUAUAAAUUUAAUUAAUAAGUUCUUUUUAUUUUAAGUUGAGAAAAGAUUAAAUAAAUGGUUAUUUUUCGGUUAUGUCCUCCAAUUUUGUAGAACCGACCCUGAUUAUAGCAAUAAUGCAUCACCACCAAAUAUAAAGUACACCAACUAAUCGGAUUUAAACACUAAACUUAUUAUUAUCAAUCAUCAAGUUUGAUAUUUCCUCAUAUGGUCGAGGUUGCUCAAAGAAAUGAAUUAUAUGGUAGGAGGUUCGAGUACCACAUAUUUAAAAAACAUUUUGUCCAACAAAGUACUUCAACAAUUAAUGGUCCAUACAUUACCACCCUACCCCCCACCAACCAACAAAUAUGAAGAUGUCAGUUAGCGGAAAUUAACGGCAAUUUAGCUGUUGUGAAUUUAAUGAACUGUAGCCCAAACUGAAGGCUCGGUAGGCAUCGAAGUAGGUCCUUUGAUACCCUAUGUUCAAAUAUUGAACUUCACGGAUGUGUUCUUUAAUGCAAUGGAUUUUUUUCAGACGUAUUCAUAAGAUUUCAUAUUAUUUGAGAUACAAAUAUUUUAAUUUUAUUAAAAUUCGAAAAAAUUAUUAAGUCUUAUGAUUUAAUGAUAUAGUAACAUUAUAUUUCAAAAUCAUAUGGCUUAACAACUUUUCAAAUUUUAAUAAAAUUUUAGAUCCUGAAUCAGAUCAUUACUUAAUUUUAGAUACACUUGUCACACACACAGACACACACAUAUGGUUAUUAUCAUUUAACUAUUUUAAGAAUUGUAAUAUAUCAAAUGACUACGAGAAAUAUGAUGCUCUAUCAUUUUACUAUUAUAUUUUUAUAAAACCUAUUAUUUUACUACAUUUUCAUUAGCAGUUAGUUCAACAGCUAGUUGACUAAUUAAAUAUUAAUUUGGCUAGUUAUAUGAAUUUUUAAGAAAAAGGUAAUGCACAAAGGAUUACAAUAUUAUAAUUCAAAAUAUAAAGUAGCUAAAAAUAAUCCCUAUAUCCUAUGAAAAUAAUUAGGUGUGGGCAAAUUUGGGUUCGGAUCAGAUUCGGAUCAACCUAAUCGAAUUUCGAUUAAUCGAUUUGAGAGAAAUAUAACCCAAAUUCAACCCGAACAUAUAAUUUGGUUUUUUUAGAUUUUCGGAUUAGAUCUGGUUUGAGCCGGUUCGAACAUGAUUGAUUCGAUCAAGUUGGCCAAAAUCUAAGCUAAUCGAGUUAGAGUCUUCAUCCAAAACUAAUCCGAACCCAAAUUUUUUGAGGUGGAUCAAUUAGAAUCUGGUCAUUUGCCCACCCUUAAAAAUAAUAUUUGAUAAUUGUAUUUGCAUAGUUUUUCCAUGGUAAAAUUAGGAUUUUAUUAAUCAAUUAACUGGUCCACUAUCGUACUAAUAGAAAUCUUGUAAAAUGACAAGUUUUGUAAAAAUUUAGUAUUAAAAUGAUAACCUACAAUACUUUUUAUAGUAGUUUAAUACAUUGUAAUUCUUAAAGUAGACAAAUGAUAAUAUCCAACUUUUGGAUUGGUUAAAGUUCAAAAAAGUUAUUAAACUACAUGGAUUAAUAGAGUAACAACUGGAAAACUAUUAAACCACGUA
rnacentral:lncRNA from 1 species